UCGGACUAGGAUAUAGCUGGUUUUCUGCGAAAUCUAUUUUGGUAGAUGACUUGUUAUUAUUUGUAGUGGGUAUAGCACUGAAUAUCUAACUUAUGUUAGAAGGGAGUAUGAAGGUACUUACUUUGGAUAUUUAAUCUCAGAAUAGCUAUUAAUAUAUGAUGAGUUAUCAGACUUCUUGCGAUAAGGUGAGGAGUCGAGAGGAA
rnacentral:rRNA from 1 species